ensembl:lncRNA
GCGGCGGGCGACGCGCCGAUCGACCCGUGGUAGAUCGUGGAUCAGGGAAACCGAAGGCAGGAGAAGCAGGCGGCUGCCGGUCGGAGCGUGAGGUGAACUGAAUUUCAGUUGUUACCCUCCACAACUAAACAAAGCACUCCAAAUCGGUUUCAGUUAUGUACUGAUAUACAACAAUGGACAUAAGGAGCUUCUUUCAAAGAAAAAACUCAGCACAAAGAGGGAGAGAGAGGAACAGAGAGGGAGAUGGAGAGGAGAAUGAGGACAGAACAGAGAUGGAACAAGAGCCAGAAACCAUACUAUUGUGACCAGCUGGCGCCGGCGAUACCAACCUCCGCGCAUGUAUGCACGGACGAGUACAGCCGUGGAGACCUGGCUUAUGAGGUGUAAUGUUGCUGACACCAAAUAAAGGUCUGUUAUUGGAUUUAACCGACUGGCUACGGGUAUUUUCAGCUAACCUCCACACCACAUGCCUGCUGGACCUGCUAGCCGCUCCCGCCUCGCCAGACUGCUGUUACAAAGUGGCGCCCGAACAGGGACGGGGAGUGAGGAAGAUGGCUGUGACCCGGAUGCUGAGGCGCCUAGCCUGACAAAGUACAUCUUCCCUCACUCUACGCCUCUUGACCUCAACCUUGAAGUGGGAAACUUGGAAGGAGAGGUCGGGAAGCCACGAAUUUGCUUACGGGAUUCACUGGAGC